rnacentral:snRNA from 1 species
GGAUGUGAGGGCGAUCUGGCUGUGACAUGUCACCCCAUUGAUCGCCAGGGUUGAUUCGGCUGACCUGGCUGGCUAGGUGGGAGUCCCCUUCCUCCCUCACCGCUCCAUGGGCAUCCCUCCUGAAGCUGCGCGCUCAGUGGAAGAGGACGGCCAUCCCAGAUAAAAGGAGUGUACCGAUCUUCAGUCAAGGGUUGCAGUGUCCCAGGGCCCCGUGAUCCCCUCUUGCAAUCUCUUGACCAGCGAGGUCAAUGGGGAAUGCAGAUUCACUUAACAAUCGUGUUACUGU